rnacentral:rRNA from 1 species
GAUGAACGCUAGCGGGAGGCUUAACACAUGCAAGUCGAGGGGUAAAUGGUAGCAAUACUAUGAGACCGGCGGACGGGUGCGUAACGCGUAUGCAACAUACCUUGUGCAGGGGGAUAGCCCGUGGAAACGCGGAUUAAUAUUCCAUAGUCCAGCUAUAUCGCAUGGUAUAGUUGGUAAAGAUUUAUCGGCACAAGUUUGGCAUGCGUCUGAUUAGCUUGUUGGUAGGGUAACGGCCUACCAAGGCGACGAUCCUUAGCUGGUCUGAGAGGAUGAUCAGCCACACUGGGACUGAGACACGGCCCAGACUCCUACGGGAGGCAGCAGUGGGGAAUAUUGGACAAUGGGCGAAAGCCUGAUCCAGCAAUGCCGCGUGAGUGAUGAAGGCCUUAGGGUUGUAAAGCUCUUUUACCCGGGAUGAUAAUGACAGUACCGGGAGAAUAAGCCCGGCUAACUCCGUGCCAGCAGCCGCGGUAAUAGUGUGUGUACG